GCGGGGGUUUGUCAUGCCCCGCCCACGGGGCGAGGCCUGGUCGCUCGGCCCUCAGCCAGCGGCGUUGCACCGGGCGGGCGGAGCUGGUAGGAACUACCGCACAGGUGCACAGGAUCUUACUAUGCACACUUGGCUGGCCUGGAACUGGCACAGAACUCAAAAGAUCCGCCUACCUGCGUUUGCCUCCCAAGUGCCGCGAUUAAAGGCAUGUGCCACCACACCCAGCCAUAGGUGCCAGUUUCAAGAUUGAGAGUGCAUGAUGUCAGUCGACUAUGUAAACGGAAGAAGUGGAAGUCCAUCAUCCAUCCUGAAGGACACCCGUGGCUCCUGCUUGGCCUUAGUAAAAAUCGAUGUAGAAGAUGA